rnacentral:tRNA from 1 species
UGGGGAAUGGUCUAACGGUUAGGACAAGGGACUUUGACUCCCUCGGCGAAGGUUCGAUUCCUUCUUCCCCAG